rnacentral:lncRNA from 1 species
CACUCAAAACUGGCUUCCAAUGGGACACAGACAUCAAAACAAAGAAGAGGGGAUGCAUGCAUUAUUCUCCACGACUGAUACAGAAGUAAAUUCCAGAAAGCUUUAAAGUCAGUUUGUAUAAAGAGGUGAGAUACAACCCCAAAUCACAUGGCUCCAAGUUAGGGUUAUUUCUGUGGAGUCAGGUUCUCUUUGACUGUGAAACAGAAGAAAAUCUUUCCUUAACAAUAACUUACACGUGCCAUGAAAGAGAUGAAGCAGAAGAUUAAGCAGGAAACCCAGUUACUUUAUUGCCCUAAGGCAUUACUCAUUUUCCUGACACAUUAUGUUUUUAAUUAAAAUUACAUGUGAGUUAAUUAAAA